AACAUCCACAUCACCCUUCACCUUGGGACCUUUCAGAUGCAAAUCAAAGUCAGGCAUGGAGAUCUUGGGGGCUUUGAUGUUCAUCUCAGGCAUCUUGAAUUUAGGGCCCUUUAGUUUCGCAUCUGGACCUUCGAUAUUCACAUCAGGAACAUCAAUGUCCACCUUGGGUCCUGAGACGUCAAGGUCAGCCUUGGGCAGGUUCACAUCCACAUCUGGGCCCUCUCCUUUGAAGCCAGGCAUGCUGAACUUGGGCAUUUUCACCUUGGGCAUCUUCAGGUGCCAGUCUGGACCCUGAACAUUAACAUCUGGGACAUCAAUGUCCACUUUGGGGCCUUUGAGGUCAACUUCAGGACCUUUCAGAUCUCCCUCUACC
rnacentral:lncRNA from 1 species